CGGAACUGACGGAAACGGCCGAUCGAAGCGUGCAACCACCCUAGCCCGGCUGCCUACGUGUGCUGCCAAGCGAGGCUCCGGGUAGCCGUCGGCACACCCUCCUGACUCCUCUGAGUCCUGUCUACGAGCUUAGGUUCAGAAUAUUGUUACAGUGCAGCCCACUCAUUCGUCGCUGGAUCUGGAUGCAUGGAAAGCGAAAAGUUUUUCGUUUUUCAUUUACUGCUCGCUUUUCUUCUUCUCAAAGGUCUUUUUUUUUACUGUUUCUUCUUUUCUCUUCUUUCUUCUGUGUUUAGCUUCUUUUGCGCUUUUGAGAGCCUUCUACUUUGCUCACCCCGGCGCUGCACGCUACGCAUUUUCAUUUUUUUUACCUUUUUACGUGUUUACUGGUUAGUAUAUUCUUCGGUCGGAACGUGCGUGCACAUGAUCCACACGGCAGAGCGAACUCCCUCUACCGGAGAAACGUGUGCUUAAAUUGAAUCUCUUCUCGUCUCUCGUGGUUGAGCGUUCAAGAUUUCAGAUUAGCGUAUAGACUUUGCAUGUUUCGAACCAAACCAAACCAUUUCGAGGCGUGUGUGCAGUGCGUCUUGGCUGGUUGGUGGAAUGGAACACUCGCAUAGUCGCAUGCAGCGCGACACCGGCAACGACAGCUUUAAGCGUACGUUUUGAGUUCCACGCCUCCGGAAUCUCAACGAGUUUCUUUCCUUUUCCAGUGUGUAUGCCCCCAAAAUGUGGUGUGCAAAGUUUCGAAAUAAAAUAUAAACAGAGUCUGUUGCACAUAGAAUCUGCCAUGCUUAUUAUAUGUAUAUGCACCACUCGCUCUAGCUAUAUUCUAGUAGUGCUAUGCGAAAACAGCUGAGACGGGGUGCUCGAUCCGGCCGGUCAAAGCACCAUUGAGUGCUAUAGUACUACGCUUAGUCGCCAACCGCGCGAUAGGGGACUUGAUGGCAGAACAAUCGAUUGACCAAGGAUUGCGCAAGGGAAUUUCCGUGCAAGGAUACGGCGAGUUUUGACGUGUCGUGGAAAGGUUAAAACCU
rnacentral:lncRNA from 1 species